rnacentral:rRNA from 1 species
GAUGAACGCUGGCGGCGUGCUUAACACAUGCAAGUCGAACGAAGCAUUUAGAACAGAUUAUUUCGGUAUGAAGUUUUUUAUGACUGAGUGGCGGACGGGUGAGUAACGCGUGGGUAACCUGCCUUGUACUGGGGGAUAGCAGCUGGAAACGGCGGGUAAUACCGCAUAAGCGCAGAAUGUUGCAUGACAUGGUGUGAAAAAAUCCGGGUGUAUGAGAUGGACCCGCGUCUGAUUGGGUGGUUGGUGGGGUAACGGCCUACCAAGCCGACGAUCAGUAGCCGACCUGAGAGGGUGACCGGCCACAUUGGGACUGAGACACGGCCCAAACUCCUACGGGAGGCAGCAGUGGGGAAUAUUGCACAAUGGGGGAAACCCUGAUGCAGCGACGCCGCGUGAGCGAUGAAGUAUUUCGGUAUGUAAAGCUCUAUCAGCAGGGAAGAAAAUGACAGUACCUGACUAAGAAGCACCGGCUAAAUACGUGCCAGCCGCCGCCGUAA